GUCUCAUUGUCAGUGACUUUUCUUGAGAAAAAGUCCCAAGACAAAAUACCUGCUAGAAGUCUCUAAAUUUAAAUUUUCUACCUAAGAUGGCUUUUUGCCAGCGUCAACACUUACAUACUGUAGCCGUAAAGAUAUCAGUUUUAAAAUAACAAAGCUAUCAUAGUAGUAAUGAUAUGUGGACAGAACAAUGCAACAAGCGCGCAUCGCGUACAUGUGCCUACACGUAUGCGAUUCGCACUUGUUUCUUAUCUUCGUGCCUCGUGCCACUCCAUUACCACAGUAAUCUCUCAUUCGUUGUCUUACGUUGAUCGCAUAAUUAUAACGUACAUGAACAACGUUUUAAUAUAAUAGUUUAAAAACAUUUCGCUAUAUUUAUUUCACUUUAUAUAUAAAAGGAUUUUGAUAAAGAAUUUGCGAAAUGGACAUCAAAAAAUUUCUUAAACGGACUACAUGUCCAAAUGAAAAUCAAAUCUCAACUUUAGAUGAUGCCGAUAAUAAUAAAAUUCCUUCACAUUCACAAAGCCUUCCUGAUGUGAGCAUGUCAAAGAGAAGUAAACUAGACAAUGUGUUUUUAGAUAAUGAUUUUGGUGUUGUAUUAUAGACCAAUACAUGUCAAAUUUGACAAAUGAAGAAAAAUUUUACGGUUUUAAAUAACAAUUUUAAAGUUCCUCAAAAUUAUAUCUUUCCUAAAAGGACAGAAGGAGAUUUGCUACGAUUUUCUCAAUAUAAAUGACUUGAACAGUUUUCUCCAUGGUUAAUGUAUUGUCCGAAAUAUAAUGGAGCAUUUUGUAAGUUUUUAAUAGUAAAUUUGGGUUUUUGGUAACAGAACCUUUAAUUAAGUGGAAAAAAGCUCUCGAGUAUAUUCGAAGUCAUGAAAAGACUUCCUAUCAUCAAGAAUUGUUUGCAAUCUGCUGAA